UACGUAGGGGGCGAGCGUUAUCCGGAUUUACUGGGUGUAAAGGGAGCGUAGACGGCGUCGCAAGUCUGAAGUGAAAGCCCGUGGCUCAACCGCGGAACCGCUUUGGAAACUGCGAGGCUGGAGUGCUGGAGAGGUAAGCGGAAUUCCUGGUGUAGCGGUGAAAUGCGUAGAUAUCAGGAGGAACACCGGUGGCGAAGGCGGCUUACUGGACAGUGACUGACGUUGAGGCUCGAAAGCGUGGGGAGCGAACAGG
rnacentral:rRNA from 1 species